UACGUAGGGUGCGAGCGUUGUCCGGAAUCAUUGGGCGUAAAGAGCUCGUAGGCGGCUUGUCGCGUCUGCCGUGAAAGUCCGGGGCUCAACUCCGGAUCUGCGGUGGGUACGGGCAGGCUAGAGUGAUGUAGGGGAGACUGGAAUUCCUGGUGUAGCGGUGAAAUGCGCAGAUAUCAGGAGGAACACCGAUGGCGAAGGCGGCUCACUGGCCCGGUACUGACGCUGAGGUGCGAAAGCGUGGGGAGCAAACAGG
rnacentral:rRNA from 1 species